GAUGAACGCUGGCGGCGUGCCUAAUACAUGCAAGUAGAACGCUGAAGGAAGGAGCUUGCUCUUUCCGGAUGAGUUGCGAACGGGUGAGUAACGCGUAGGUAACCUGCCUGGUAGCGGGGGAUAACUAUUGGAAACGAUAGCUAAUACCGCAUAACAGUAGAUGUUGCAUGAUAUCUACUUAAAAGGUGCAAUUGCACCACUACCAGAUGGACCUGCGUUGUAUUAGCUAGUUGGUGAGGUAACGGCUCACCAAGGCGACGAUACAUAGCCGACCUGAGAGGGUGAUCGGCCACACUGUGACUGAGACACGGCCCAGACUCCUACGGGAGGCAGCAGUAGGGAAUCUUCGGCAAUGGACGGAAGUCUGGCCGAGCAACGCCGCGUGAGUGAAGAAGGUUUUCGGAUCGUAAAGCUCUGUUGUAAGAGAAGAGCGAGUGUGAGAGUGGAAAGUUCACACUGUGACGGUAUCUUACCAGAAAGGGACGGCUAACUACGUG
rnacentral:rRNA from 1 species